UCUGUCAUUUUGAUAAAUCCAUGAAUGAUGCACUCGUGAAUAUAAAUGAGAGAAUAAACAUCAUCAAAGUGUUUGUUGCUGCAGCAUGAAGACAUUAUGAA